rnacentral:rRNA from 1 species
GAUGAACGCUGGCGGCGUGCCUAAUACAUGCAAGUCGAGCGAACGGACGAGAAGCUUGCUUCUCUGAUGUUAGCGGCGGACGGGUGAGUAACACGUGGAUAACCUACCUAUAAGACUGGGAUAACUUCGGGAAACCGUAGCUAAUACCGGAUAAUAUUUUGAACCGCAUGGUUCAAAAGUGAAAGACGGUCUUGCUGUCACUUAUAGAUAGCUCCGCGCUGCAUUAGCUAGUUGGUAAGGUAACGGCUUACCAAGGCAACGAUGCAUAGCCGACCUGAGAGGGUGAUCGGCCACACUGGAACUGAGACACGGUCCAGACUCCUACGGGAGGCAGCAGUAGGGAAUCUUCCGCAAGGGGCGAAAGCCUGACGGGGCAACGCCGCGGGAGUGAUGAAGGUCUUCGGAUCGUAAAACUCUUUUAUUAGGGAAGAACAUAUGUGUAAGUAACUGUGCACAUCUUGACGGUACCUAAUCAGAAAGCCACGGCUAACUACGUG